GACGAACGCUGGCGGCGUGCCUAAUACAUGCAAGUCGAACGAACUCUGGUAUUGAUUGGUGCUUGCAUCAUGAUUUACAUUUGAGUGAGUGGCGAACUGGUGAGUAACACGUGGGAAACCUGCCCAGAAGCGGGGGAUAACACCUGGAAACAGAUGCUAAUACCGCAUAACAACUUGGACCGCAUGGUCCGAGUUUGAAAGAUGGCUUCGGCUAUCACUUUUGGAUGGUCCCGCGGCGUAUUAGCUAGAUGGUGGGGUAACGGCUCACCAUGGCAAUGAUACGUAGCCGACCUGAGAGGGUAAUCGGCCACAUUGGGACUGAGACACGGCCCAAACUCCUACGGGAGGCAGCAGUAGGGAAUCUUCCACAAUGGACGAAAGUCUGAUGGAGCAACGCCGCGUGAGUGAAGAAGGGUUUCGGCUCGUAAAACUCUGUUGUUAAAGAAGAACAUAUCUGAGAGUAACUGUUCAGGUAUUGACGGUAUUUAACCAGAAAGCCACGGCUAACUACGUGCCAGCAGCCGCGGUAAUACGUAGGUGGCAAGCGUUGUCCGGAUUUAUUGGGCGUAAAGCGAGCGCAGGCGGUUUUUUAAGUCUGAUGUGAAAGCCUUCGGCUCAACCGAAGAAGUGCAUCGGAAACUGGGAAACUUGAGUACAGAAGAGGACAGUGGAACUCCAUGUGUAGCGGUGAAAUGCGUAGAUAUAUGGAAGAACACCAGUGGCGAAGGCGGCUGUCUGGUCUGUAACUGACGCUGAGGCUCGAAAGUAUGGGUAGCAAACAGGAUUAGAUACCCUGGUAGUCCAUACCGUAAACGAUGAAUGCUAAGUGUUGGAGGGUUUCCGCCCUUCAGUGCUGCAGCUAACGCAUUAAGCAUUCCGCCUGGGGAGUACGGCCGCAAGGCUGAAACUCAAAGGAAUUGGCGGGGGCCCGCACAAGCGGUGGAGCAUGUGGUUUAAUUCGAAGCUACGCGAAGAACCUUACCAGGUCUUGACAUACUAUGCAAAUCUAAGAGAUUAGACGUUCCCUUCGGGGACAUGGAUACAGGUGGUGCAUGGUUGUCGUCAGCUCGUGUCGUGAGAUGUUGGGUUAAGUCCCGCAACGAGCGCAACCCUUAUUAUCAGUUGCCAGCAUUAAGUUGGGCACUCUGGUGAGACUGCCGGUGACAAACCGGAGGAAGGUGGGGAUGACGUCAAAUCAUCAUGCCCCUUAUGACCUGGGCUACACACGUGCUACAAUGGAUGGUACAACGAGUUGCGAACUCGCGAGAGUAAGCUAAUCUCUUAAAGCCAUUCUCAGUUCGGAUUGUAGGCUGCAACUCGCCUACAUGAAGUCGGAAUCGCUAGUAAUCGCGGAUCAGCAUGCCGCGGUGAAUACGUUCCCGGGCCUUGUACACACCGCCCGUCACACCAUGAGAGUUUGUAACACCCAAAGUCGGUGGGGUAACCUUUUAGGAACCAGCCGCCUAAGGUGGGACAGAUGAUUAGGGUG
rnacentral:rRNA from 2 species